AUUGAACGCUGGCGGCAUGCCUUACACAUGCAAGUCGAACGGCAGCACGGACUUCGGUCUGGUGGCGAGUGGCGAACGGGUGAGUAAUAUAUCGGAACAUACCUUGUAGUGGGGGAUAACUAUCCGAAAGGAUAGCUAAUACCGCAUACGCUCUAAGGAGGAAAGUGGAGGAUCGCAAGACCUCAUGCUAUAAGAGUGGCCGAUAUCUGAUUAGCUAGUUGGUGAGGUAAAGGCUCACCAAGGCGACGAUCAGUAGCUGGUCUGAGAGGACGACCAGCCACACGGGAACUGAGACACGGUCCAGACUCCUACGGGAGGCAGCAGUGGGGAAUUUUGGACAAUGGGGGCAACCCUGAUCCAGCAAUGCCGCGUGAGUGAAGAAGGCCUUCGGGCUGUAAAGCUCUUUUGUCAGGGAAGAAACGGUUGUGGCUAAUAUCCAUGGCUAAUGACGGUACCUGAAGAAUAAGCACCGGCUAACUACGUGCCAGCCGCCGCCGUAA
rnacentral:rRNA from 1 species